rnacentral:rRNA from 1 species
AGAGUUUGAUCCUGGCUCAGGACGAACGCUGGCGGCGUGCCUAAUACAUGCAAGUCGAGCGGACAGAUGGGAGCUUGCUCUCUGAUGUUAGCGGCGGACGGGUGAGUAACACGUGGGUAACCUGCCUGUAAGACUGGGAUAACUCCGGGAAACCGGGGCUAAUACCGGAUGCUUGUUUGAAUUCAGACAUAAAAGGUGGCUUCGGCUACCACUUACAGAUGGACCCGCGGCGCAUUAGCUAGUUGGUGAGGUAACGGCUCACCAAGGCGACGAUGCGUAGCCGACCUGAGAGGGUGAUCGGCCACACUGGGACUGAGACACGGCCCAGACUCCUACGGGAGGCAGCAGUAGGGAAUCUUCCGCAAUGGACGAAAGUCUGACGGAGCAACGCCGCGUGAGUGAUGAAGGUUUUCGGAUCGUAAAGCUCUGUUGUUAGGGAAGAACAAGUGCCGUUCAAAUAGGGCGGCACCUUGACGGUACCUAACCAGAAAGCCACGGCUAACUACGUGCCAGCAGCCGCGGUAAUACGUAGGUGGCAAGCGUUGUCCGGAAUUAUUGGGCGUAAAGGGCUCGCAGGCGGUUUCUUAAGUCUGAUGUGAAAGCCCCCGGCUCAACCGGGGAGGGUCAUUGGAAACUGGGGAACUUGAGUGCAGAAGAGGAGAGUGGAAUUCCACGUGUAGCGGUGAAAUGCGUAGAGAUGUGGAGGAACACCAGUGGCGAAGGCGACUCUCUGGUCUGUAACUGACGCUGAGGAGCGAAAGCGUGGGGAGCGAACAGGAUUAGAUACCCUGGUAGUCCACGCCGUAAACGAUGAGUGCUAAGUGUUAGGGGGUUUCCGCCCCUUAGUGCUGCAGCUAACGCAUUAAGCACUCCGCCUGGGGAGUGAAGCGUGGCUUGGAUAGCUUGGAUCUGUGGUCAGAAGACAGGCUUUCAGCAAUUGUGACAUCCCGUAAAACAACAGAAUAGGCUUAAUUUCUAAAGGAGAAAGGGAUGCCUGCUUAUAAAAGGACUCGGCGUGUUUGAUGAAGAAUAUGAAGCGCUCACUGUUUUUAAACGCAUACCGUUUUGGUUCUUCCAUUC